UGACACUUCAUGUAUAUAUAAUAUUUAUUAGUAGUUGUAGGUUAGGACAUAUAUUUAUGUUGAUUUGAUAAGUAUAUUGUGUAGAAUUAUGUACAUUUUAUAAGUGUCCUUAUUUAAUAUAUCAAUAAAGUUAUUAUGAUUAUUAAAACAUAAAUAUGCAAAAUGUAUGAAUAUGGCAGCCAUAUUGGACACACGAAUGUCAUUCGGAAAGAAAUAAAAGCUUGAGGAGAAUGACGUACAUGAUUGGGAAAAUCCAGCCGUUAAAAACGACGUCUAAAAUAUACGUCAAACAACUGACUCACAUGUCACGUGCCUCCUUGCGUUUGACGUUUGAAUGAAUAAAAACUAUAAAAUCUAAGUGUCUCUAUUAUGGAUAUAUAGAUAUACUUUACUCCAGCUUGCGAAUUUAUUUAGGAAGUGCAUGGAUAUAAGAAAUAAUACUUGUACGUGGAUUGUGGAGUAUUCAAACCAUGCUUACUGUGUACAACUUGCGCAAAUUAUUAAUCCCAAAUCUCAUAACGGGGAAUGAUCUAACCCCAAGGCUCUGGCUCAACGUGCCAGCCUUGUGACAACUGAAAUGUUGGCAGGGUAGACCUGAUUGACAUAGUCUCAUAUGAAACACUCAAAUGGAGAAAUACAGUCCACAUCGCGGGUCAAUUUCAACAAAUUAUUUGAAUUUCUUUAAGCACAAGUAUUAUUCCUAUUUCGUUGAAGACAACAAGCUAUACUGGGCUAGCCAGAGUUAGCCCCAUUAGCUUCGGUCACGACGGAUGGGGCGGUUUCUUCGUUCGUAUCUACCAGUUCAACAGCUUUCUUUAUUGCUUCAAACAAACAAUUCCCAGCAACAUAAUCGUUAUCGACCAAGUUGACCAACAGGUAGCUGUCAUGAAUUGUGUCAAUAAUUUCACGUGAUUUGGAUCCCUCUGGAUAUACCCUUGCCCACUGUUGCUUCCAUAGAGCAAAUGCUUCAUCCU